AUGGAACUGCUGCUCGUCAAGGCCACGCUCGAAAAUGCUGCCCGCAAGGAGAUCAGCGGUCCAGCCAUGGAGGAGUUGUUGCAGAGGCUGCGGGACUCGGCGCACAAUGCCCAGGACUUGCUCAACGAGCUGGACUACUUCCGCAUCCACGACCAGCUCCAUGGCACGUACAAUGCUGCCGACCAGCACGACAAGGGUGGCGUCCACGACCUCGCCCUCAAUGCUCGCCACACCGCCAAAGCUGUUGGCAAAUCGGUCAGCUGUUGCCCUUGGCAGCGUGCUAAGCGCCGACAGCAGAGAUCACGCGGCGAUUCCUCCCCGGCCCCGGCGCCAGAUGCCAAUCAGGAGGCCAGCGGAUGCAUGCCCAAGCUCGGUAACCUCCUCCCUUGCUCAUCUUCCCAAGAUCCACAUGUUCGUGAGGAAGAUUGUGGCAGUGUGCAAGAAACACCAAAGCUUGAGUUUAGCAGGGUUGAUUUCUCUCAAAAGAUCAAAGACAUCGUAGACAAACUACAGCCUGUGCGUAAAGAUGUUAAUGGCCUUCUGCAGAGUUGUGGCCCUAGAAGUGUCCCAAACAUUGCCCAGUGUCGUCCUGUCACCAGAGGUCGAAUUGAUGAGCCAAAACUAUAUGGUAGGGACCGUGUCAUGAAUAGCAUCAUACAUGACAUCACCAAGGGUCAAUACUGUGAUAAGGCUCUAACUGUGCUUCCGGUUGUUGGUUCGGGGGGCAUGGGGAAGACAACUCUCAUACAACACAUAUAUCGCAGCCAACAAGUACUGGACCAUUUUCCAGUCAUGAUUUGGAUAUGUGUCUCGCUCAAUUUCAGUCUAGAUAAGGUGCUAGAACAGAUUAAAACAUGUACCUCUGAAGUUGAAAAUGAAAAGAAGAGCAGUACAACCGAAGAGCUGAUUGAACAAAGAUUGAAAUCUAAAAGGUUCUUACUUGUAUUGGAUGAUAUAUGGCAGAUUAGCAAUGAGGAUGACUGGGGGAAAUUAUUGCUGACACUCAAUAAAUCACAAGAAAAUGGUUCCAUGAUACUCGUCACAACUCGGUUUCAAGCAAUAGUAGAGAAGGUUAAAGCAACUGGUCACUCAAUAAAACUGGAUGGUUUAGAAUCUGAAGACUUUAGAAAGUUAUUUCUUACAUUUGUCUUUGGUGACGAACAAUGUCCAAGGGAUAAACAUUUUCUGCUUGACACUGGAGAUAAGAUAAUGGAAAAACUAAAGGGCUCCCCUCUUGCAGCAAAAACGGUGGGUAGAUUACUGAGCAAAGACCUUAGUUUGGGUCAUUGGAAAAGGGUCCUAAAAAGUAAAGGAUGGGAGAAGCAGACUGAUGGCAAUGAAAUUAUGCCUGCCUUGAAGCUUAGCUAUGACUUUCUUCCUUUCCAUCUGCAACAAUGUUUUGCUUAUUCUGGAUUGUUUCCUGAAGAUUACAAUUUCAGAAGUGACGAGCUAAUCAGUCUAUGGAUCGGACUAGAUAUUUUGAUACCCAAUGGCCAAAACCAACCAUUUGAAGACAUAGGUCUGAGCAAUUUAAAUGAGUUACUCAUGCAUGGAUUUUUCAGAGAAGAGAAAACUGAGUAUGGUUUGCGUUAUGUUAUGCAUGAUUUGCUGCAUGAUUUGGCAUUGAAGGUUGCAUCUUAUGAUUGUCUUAGUUUUCGUCUCCCUAGUGUUGGAUCAGUACAGAUUCAGCCAACCACCCGUCACUUGUCAAUAAGCACAUGUGGUUUAGGUAAAUAUGAUGCAGUGUCUUGUAAAAAAUUGAAGAGUGAAUUGGAAGAACUAAAGACAAGAUUUAAAGUUGAAGAAUUGCAAACAUUGAUGUUAUUUGGACAAAUGGAUGAAGGCUUUGCCAAGAUAUUUGGUGAUUUUAUUGGGGAAGCGAACACUCUUCGUGUUCUCCAUUUGCCAAGCAUGCUUUGUCCCGUGGAGUUCAUGUUACAUAACUUUUCAGGACUACUCCACCUACGAUACCUCUGCCUAGGGAGAUAUGAGAGCCAGAUGCAUUUACCACUUGGCAUCUCCAAAUUUUAUCAUUUAAGGAUCCUAGAUCUUGAAAAGUGGCAUGGCAGUUGUGAUUUGCCUGAAGACAUGAGCAACCUUGCCAAACUAUGCCAUUUUUAUGUCCCAAAUGAUCAGCUUCAUUCUGAUAUUUAUAAUGUGGGGAAACUUAAACUCUUAGAAGAGUUGAAGGUAUUUCAAGUCAAUAAAAGAAGUGAAGGGUUUGAAACAAAGCAACUAGAGCACUUGACCAAGCUAAGGGAGCUUGGCAUCUACAACCUUGAGAAGAUAGAUACAGCAGAAGAAGCAACUCAAGCAAAACUGAUGGAGAAAAAUUACUUGAGGAGGUUAACAUUGGACUGGGAUAGUAAGCGAUCUAGUGUUGAGCCUGGUGUGGAAGCAACGGUUCUUGAGGGCCUUCAACCACAUGGAGAUCUUCAAGUGUUGUGCAUUAGAGGGCACGUAGGUCCUUCUUGUCCAACAUGGCUGGGUGAUGAGUUCGCUGUUGAAGGUCUACAAUCUCUUUAUCUGGAUGGUGUUUCUUGGGAAGUUUUCCCUUCUUUAGGGAAGGCAUGGGAUCUUCGUGAAUUAAGGUUUGAGCAUAUUGCCAGACUGAAGGAGUUUAUCAUAGAGAAAAGCUUUUGCGUGUUAACAAAGCUUAAACUCAUUGGCCUAGGAAGUUUUGAAAAAUGGGUUUAUCCAGCUGAACAAGAGUCUUCCAUUAGUGGAGAAUUGUUGCCACCGGAUGCUCAUAUGUUCCCUCUUUUGCAAGUUCUGGUUAUUAGAGAGUGCCCGAAAAUCUUGGGGUUGCCUUUCUCAAACCACAUUGUUUCCCCAGAUUGGUUCCCCAAGCUACAAGAGCUUGAGGUACAUGACUGUCCCAAAUUCUUGCCAGUGAUUCCCAUCUCCUGGAUCGAAAGUAAGCGUUCUGUCACUGUGAAAUGUGUAAAGAUGCUAAAGGAGUUUGCAUACUCAAAAUCAUCCACUGGAGCACAAUUGAAGAUUAUCGGAGAGAGUGAUCUGCUUAGCAUAGACCAAGUGCUGGUUUUUGAUAAAGAAACCGGAAGAGGUCAGAGUGAUGUGGAAUGGCAGCUCCCUGUUGAGUGUAUCAAGAUCGAUGGCUUAACUGGUAAUACUGGCGAGGAACUGACAGAGCUCCUUCCCCACCUCCCAAAGCUCUCCAAAUUGGAAAUACAGGAUUGUAAAAACAUAAAAAACCUGGUAGUGGGGGUGGAUGUGCAACAAACAGCACAAGAAUCAUCAGAGAUGGGGGGAGGUGAAAUAACAACAGCAGCAGCAGAGGAAGAGGAUGAUGGGGUGCUGCUCUUCCCCGCUCAUCUCCGUGACUCACUACGGGAAUUGGAUUUCCCUUUCUGCCCAGAGCUGGUCCUGGUGGACCCGCCAACUCUUGUUCCUGGUGGAGGAGGGCUCCAAGCCUUGCAAUCUCUCCAGUUUCUAGUGCUUUGGGAUGUGAAAGGCUUGAGGACACUGGAGCCCCUCUCAAACCUCUCCUCUCUCACCAGAUUAGAAUUGUGGAAUUGUGGAGAGGAUCUGAAAUGUCAGGGCUUGUGGUCUCUCCUUACCACCAGGGGCCAGCUCAACGAAUUAGAGGUCAUGCACAGCCCUAGAUUCUUUGCUGAUUGGGAUCCCAAUCCCAGACGUGCUUUGGAAGAUGCUGAGGGAGUUGAAGAGCAGCAGGCACAGCUUGUUUCAUCCACACUGCGUGAGCUUAAAACAAAUGACGUGGCAGGACUUCUUGCUGCACCUGUCUGCAGAUUCCUCUCUUCCUCCCUCACCAAGCUGGAACUUUGGGGGCAUUGGUGUGAAGGGAUGGAGCGGUUUAGCAAGGAGCAAGAGGACGCCCUUCAACUCCUCUCCUCCCUCCAGGAACUAGAGUUUUGGUCUUUCAAGGACCUUCAACAACUCCCUGCAGGGCUGCGUAACCUUACCAGCCUCAAGAUAUUAUCAGUCAAGUACUGUCCAGCCAUCUCGUCAUUGCCCAACGAUGGCCUCCCUGAUUCACUGCAAGAGCUAAAUGUCACAUGGUGCAACAACAGAGAGCUAAAACAGCAGUGCGGGGGGUUAGUGGGAACCAUCCCCAAAAUCAUAAUAGACUUGUGA
rnacentral:rRNA from 1 species